CCAAGGAGUCUAACAUGUGCGCGAGUCGUUGGGCUUUACGAAACCCGCAGGCGCAAUGAAAGUGAAGGGCGUUCUCGGAGCGUCCGUGGCAGGAUCCGUCGCAUCCCUAACAGGGCGACGGCGCACUGCCGGCCCGUCUCGGUCGCCCCGUCGACGAGGCGGAGCAGGAGCGUACACGUUGGGACCCGAAAGAUGGUGAACUAUGCCUGAGUAGGACGAAGUCAGGGGAAACCCUGAUGGAGGUCCGUAGCGAUUCUGACGUGCAAAUCGAUCGUCGAACUUGGGUAUAGGGGCGAAAGACUAAUCGAACCGUCUA
rnacentral:rRNA from 1 species